rnacentral:rRNA from 1 species
ACGAACGCUGGCGGCGUGCUUAACACAUGCAAGUCGAACGGUGAAGCGCCUUCCUUUUUGGUGGGUGUGGAUGAGUGGCGAACGGGUGAGUAACACGUGAGUAACCUUCCCCUUUCUUCUGGAUAACCGCAUGAAAGGGUGGCUAAUACGGGAUAUUCUGGGUCUGUCGCAUGGUGGGUCUGGGUAAGAUAUUGUUGCGGUGGGGGAUGGGCUCGCGGCCUAUCAGUUUGUUGGUGGGGUGAUGGCGUACCUAGGCGGUGCCGGGUCGCAGGCCUGGGAGGGUGGACGGCCACACUGGGUGUGCGACACGGCCCAGACUCCUACACGGGGCAGCCUUGUGCAAUAUUCCACAGUGGGGGAUAGCCUGCUGCAGCGGCGCGGCGUGAGGGAUGGAGCCCCGCGGGUUGUGACCCCCUUUCGCCAGUGAAGCGGGUCUGCCUCGUUUGUGGCUGGGUUGACGGUAGCUGGAAAAGAAGCGCCGGCUAACUACGUG